rnacentral:snoRNA from 1 species
GAACCAUGACCGUGCGACCAGAGUGUGAUUAACGGCUAAGAUCAUCUCUAGAUGUAUCCGGUGCUGUAGAGGAUCGUUACCCGGCUCGGUCUAAACCUUGCAGGGGCGGUUGCACGGCGGUCUGA